rnacentral:SRP_RNA from 1 species
GCCAGGUGUGGUGGCUCACGCCUGUAAUCCUAACACUUUGGGAGGCCAAGGCAGGAGGAUCACUUGAGCCCAGGAGUUGGAGACCAGCCUGGGCAACAUAGUGAGACCCUGUCUCUU